CCUACGGGUGGCAGCAGUGGGGGAUAUUGCACAAUGGGGGGAACCCUGAUGCAGCGACGCCGCGUGGGUGAAGGAGCGUUUCGGCGCGUAAAGCCCUAUCGGCAGGGAAGAAGGAGGACAGUACCUGACUAAGAAGCCCCGGCUAACUACGUGCCAGCAGCCGCGGUAAUGCGUAGGGGGCAAGCGUUAUCCGGAUUUACUGGGUGUAAAGGGAGCGUAGACGGCUGCGCAAGUCAGAAGUGAAAGCCCGGGGCUCAACCGCGGGACUGCUUUUGAAACUGUGUAGCUAGAGUGCAGGAGAGGUAAGUGGAAUUCCUAGUGUAGCGGUGAAAUGCGUAGAUAUUAGGAGGAACACCGGUGGCGAAGGCGGCUUACUGGACUGUAACUGACGUUGAGGCUCGAAAGCGUGGGGAGCAAACAGGAUUAGAUACCCGAGUAGUC
rnacentral:rRNA from 1 species